rnacentral:rRNA from 1 species
GUAUGCUUAACACAUGCUAGUUCUAACAAUUUAAUAAAUGUUUAAUAUUUUUUUUAUUAAAAUUUUGUGGCGUACUGGUGAGUAAUAUACAACGAUUUUUAUUCUGUUUCAUUUAAUUUGAAUUAACGUUAAAAAAAUUAUUUUUUUUACAAAAGUUGUAAACGCAGUUGAUAGAGGUUGUAUCGGAUUAAGUAGUUGGUAGAGUUAAAAGCCUAUCCAAGCUGUUUAUCCGUAGUUGGUCUGAGAGGAUGAUCAGCCACAACGGGAAUGAAAACGGCUCGAACUGAAUAGGCUGCAGUGAGGAAUUUUGGGACAAUGAGUUUUGCUUGAUCUAGUAAUAUCGCGUGAAUGAAGAAGGUGAAUUCCGUAAAAUUCUUUCGUCGGAAAAUGAUUAUGACAGUAUUCGAAAUAAGAA